UACGUAGGGUGCGAGCGUUAAUCGGAAUUACUGGGCGUAAAGCGUGCGCAGGCGGUUCGUUAUGUCCGAUGUGAAAGCCCCGAGCUUAACUUGGGAAUGGCAUUGGAAACUGGCGGGCUGGAGUGCGGCAGAGGGGGGUGGAAUUCCAGGUGUAGCGGUGAAAUGCGUAGAUAUCUGGAGGAACACCGGUGGCGAAGGCGGCAUCCUGGACCAACACUGACGCUGAGGAGCGAAAGCCAGGGGAGCAAACGGG
rnacentral:rRNA from 1 species